AUUGAACGCUGGCGGAAUGCUUUACACAUGCAAGUCGAACGGCAGCACGGACUUCGGUCUGGUGGCGAGUGGCGAACGGGUGAGUAAUGUAUCGGAACGUGCCCAGUCGUGGGGGAUAACGUAGUGAAAAUUACGCUAAUACCGCAUACGAUCUAUGGAUGAAAGCGGGGGAUCGCAAGACCUCGCGCGAUUGGAGCGGCCGAUAUCAGAUUAGGUAGUUGGUGGGGUAAAGGCCCACCAAGCCAACGAUCUGUAGCUGGUCUGAGAGGACGACCAGCCACACUGGAACUGAGACACGGUCCAGACUCCUACGGGAGGCAGCAGUGGGGAAUUUUGGACAAUGGGCGAAAGCCUGAUCCAGCCAUUCCGCGUGCAGGAUGAAGGCCCUCGGGUUGUAAACUGCCUUUGUACAGAACGAAAAGGUUUCUACUAAUACUAGGAGCUCAUGACGGUACCGUAAGAAUAAGCACCGGCUAACUACGUGCCAGCCGCCGCAGUAA
rnacentral:rRNA from 1 species